rnacentral:tRNA from 2 species
UGGGCUAUCGCCAAGCGGUAAGGCACAGGACUUUGACUCCUGCAGGCGCCGGUUCGAAUCCGGCUAGCCCAG